UGAAACAUCAGUUGGGCUGUGGGGA
rnacentral:piRNA from 1 species